GACGAACGCUGGCGGCGUGCUUAACACACGCAAGUCGAACGGAGAAUUUUACUUCGGUGAAAUUCUUAGUGGCGAACGGGUGAGUAACGCGUAGACAACCUGCCUCUUAGAUGGGGACAACAUCGCGAAAGCGGUGCUAAUACCGAAUGAAGUGGAGCUUCCGCAUGGAAGCAUCACCAAAGGUGGCCUCUAUUUAUAAGCUACCACUGAGAGAUGGGUCUGCGUCUGAUUAGCUAGUUGGCGGGGUAAUGGCCCACCUAGGCGACGAUCAGUAGCCGGUCUGAGAGGAUGAACGGCCACAUUGGGACUGAGACACGGCCCAAACUCCUACGGGAGGCAGCAGUGGGGAAUCUUCCGCAAUGGACGAAAGUCUGACGGAGCAACGCCGCGUGAGUGAAGAAGGUUUUCGGAUCGUAAAGCUCUGUUGUUUGAGACGAAUGUGCAGACUUUGAAUAAGGGUUUGUAAUGACGGUAUUAAACGAGAAAGCCACGGCUAACUACGUGCCAGCAGCCGCGGUAA
rnacentral:rRNA from 1 species